CUACGAGACGCUGCAGUGGGGAAUAUUGCACAAUGGGGGGAACCCUGAUGCAGCAACGCCGCGUGGAGGAUGACGCAUUUCGGUGUGUAAACUCCUUUUAUAUGUCAAGAAAAUGACGGUAGCAUAUGAAUAAGCACCGGCUAACUCCGUGCCAGCAGCCGCGGUAAUACGGAGGGUGCAAGCGUUACUCGGAAUCACUGGGCGUAAAGGACGCGUAGGCGGGUUGGAAAGUCAGGUGUGAAAUCCUACAGCUUAACUGUAGAACUGCACUUGAAACUUCUAAUCUAGAGUAUGGGAGGGGGAGAUGGAAUUAGUGGUGUAGGGGUAAAAUCCGUAGAUAUCACUAGGAAUACCUAAAGCGAAGGCGAUCUCCUGGAACAUUACUGACGCUAAGGCGUGAAAGCGUGGGGAGCAAACAGGAUUAGAACCCCAGUAGUC
rnacentral:rRNA from 1 species